rnacentral:lncRNA from 1 species
ACCUGACGGCACGGCUCACAGCCGCCGGCAAGGCCCAGAACCCACCGAAGGUGGUUUUCUUUAAAUAUUAUUAUGACAUAAUUAUUAUUAAAUAUUAUUAUAUCAUAAUUAUAAAUAUAAUUAUAAAAAUAAUAUGAUAUGAAAUGAAAAAAAAUAAAAGUCAUACCUGCAGCUGUGGAGAGGGAGGUCGCACAGAGCUGCGGAGGUCGUCGGCAGUGGCAU